rnacentral:rRNA from 1 species
GACAGAGGUGCCGAGCGUUAGGCGGAAUCACUGGGCUUAAAGCGUGUGUAGGCGGACUUCUAAGUACCUUGUGAAAUCCCAUGGCUCAACCAUGGAACUGCUUGGUAUACUGGUUGUCUUGAGCCACUUAGGGGCAGUCGGAACAGAUGGUGGAGCGGUGAAAUGCGUAGAUAUCGCUUGGAACGCCGAAGGUGAAAACAGGCUGCUGGGGUUGUGCCGACGCUGAGACACGAAAGCCAGGGGAGCAAACGGG